GCCCAGGCCACUUGAAACAAUUGCUCUGGGGGACAUCAGCUACCAUAUAAGAAGUCUGACUACCCUGAAACCACUGAGGAAACCCAAGCUGACCAUGUGGAGAGGACACAGAGAGAUGCCUGACAACCCAGCCACCGGACUGUAAGUGAAGCAGCUUCAGAUGACUCAUCCUCAGCCACCAUCUAACAGUAACCACAUGAGAAACUCCAAAGGCCACCAGCUAAAGCCUGUCACAUCCCAGAACUGUGAAAGAUAGCAAUAAAUUGAUGUUUCAAGUCACCAAAUUUGGCAAUGGUUUGCUACACUGCAAUGAAUAAUGGAAAUGCCCAUUUCUGUUGGUGGCAUGACCCUAACUGGGCUCUGCCAUCAGCCUUGCUCAGGCCAGCUCCCAUAACUGUGG
rnacentral:lncRNA from 1 species